GUUAAAUAAAAAGCGCCUGAACUAUUUUCGGACGAAAAGAAAAUAGUUGACGAGGAAGAGGUUCAUCGAUCAUUCGGCGGAUGCCUCUCGGAAUCAGUCACUUUCGUUAGCUUUUAUCUAAAACAGGCAAGGCGACUUCCUGUACAAAAAUAAAAGCAGUGGCUAAU
rnacentral:ncRNA from 2 species